rnacentral:tRNA from 1 species
GUCCCUAUAGCUCAAAUGGAUAGAGCAGGCGUUUCCUAAACGUCAUAUCCAGGUUCAAUUCCUGGUGGGGACA